GGCCAGAUAGCUCAGCAGGUAGAGCAGAGGACUGAAAAUCCUCGUGUCGGCGGUUCGAUUCCGUCUCUGGCCACCA
rnacentral:tRNA from 2 species